GGAUAGGUACUCAAGUGGUUAAGAGAAUCCCCUGCUAAGGGAUUAGGCGAUCUAAACAAUCGUGCGAGGGUUCGAAUCCCUUCCUAUCCG
rnacentral:tRNA from 1 species